CAGCAGCCGCGGGAAUACGAAGGGUGCAAGCGUUACUCGGAAUUACUGGGCGUAAAGCGUGCGUAGGUGGUGGUUUAAGUCCGUUGUGAAAGCCCUGGGCUCAACCUGGGAAUUGCAGUGGAUACUGGGUCACUAGAGUGUGGUAGAGGAUAGUGGAAUUCCCGGUGUAGCAGUGAAAUGCGUAGAGAUCGGAAGGAACAUCAGUGGCGAAGGCGGCCAUAUGGGACAACACUGACGCUGAGGCACGAAAGCGUGGGGAGCAAACAGGAUUAGAUACCCGAGUAGUCCUGUCUCUUAUACA
rnacentral:rRNA from 1 species